CAUGGAAGCCACUUUGUAAAUGGCAGUGUCCGAUGGGUUUCAGCCUGAAAAUGGGAGCUGUGGCAACACUGCCAGCUCCCCGCAGGGACCUGGCACCCCUAGAAAUGGGGUUAUCAUCUCAGCCGGCCUCAACCCACUCUCUCGUCCCCAGCACCAAGAGGUUUGAGGACAUGAUUGCACCCUUCCGUCUGAAUGAUGGCUUCAAGGAUGAGGCCACUGUCAACGAGAUGCGGCGGGACUGCCCCUGGAAGAUCUCAGAUGAGGAGAUUACGAAGAACAGAGUCAAGUCCCUUCGGCAGGUGAGGCUGAAUGAGAUUCUGCUGGAUUACUCCCGAGAUGCUGCUCUCAUCGUCAUGUAAGUAGUGCCUGGCUGGUGGGAGGACCAGUCUGUCCAGAGUCAGGUGUCUCAGCUCUGGGAAGGGGCUCAGCAGGGGCACCACGGAGGGCCCAAGCCUUCCCCUAGGAAGCAGAAGGGCCAAAGUUCCCAUAAACAUAGCCCUGGUGAUUCUUAGCAUGUGGCUGGGCCUGAGCCUGCCCCACACCUGAGCUCCAGCUGGCAGGGGUCGAGGGCCUCACGUGUCCCAGGCAUCAGUGACCUCCCCUUGCCAUUGCUGUUUCCUGUUGGCUGCCUUUUCCUACCAAAUUCCACUUGGCAAAGAGGGAACCCAGCUCUUUCCAGAGGGACAUCAACUCCUGGUUGUUCAGGAACUACUUGGCCCUCCUUGGCUAUCGGCCAUUCCCAGCU
rnacentral:sRNA from 1 species